UACGAAGGGUGCAAGCGUUACUCGGAAUUACUGGGCGUAAAGCGUGCGUAGGUGGUUUGUUAAGUCUGUUGUGAAAGCCCCGGGCUCAACCUGGGAAUGGCAAUGGAUACUGGCAGGCUAGAGUGCGGUAGAGGGUAGUGGAAUUCCCGGUGUAGCGGUGAAAUGCGUAGAGAUCGGGAGGAACACCAGUGGCGAAGGCGGCUACCUGGACCGAGCA
rnacentral:rRNA from 1 species